rnacentral:rRNA from 1 species
AGACGAAGGGAGCGAGCGUUGUUCGGUAUCACUGGGCUUAAAGGGCGCGUAGGCGGCCAGAUGGGUCGGUUGUGAAAUCCCUGGGCUCAACCCAGGAAUGGCUUCCGAAACUAUUUGGCUUGAGGCAUUCUGGGGGCGACUGGAACUCUUGGUGGAGCGGUGAUAUGCGUAGAUAUCAAGAGGAACGCCAGUGGUGAAGACGGGUCGCUGGGAAUGUCCUGACGCUGAGGCGCGAAAGCUAGGGGAGCGAACGGGAUUAGAAACCCGAGUAGUCC